CAACAGCUAGUCAGACACCUCGGUAGCUUUCUAGCAAAGAUAGGUACAAAAUUCACACUCUUUACACUGUUUUGGUGUAUGUUAGUCGCUGUGUAUUAAACACUUCUUCCGUAUGUACUUGUUGGCCCAUUUAAUUAUAUAUUUAUGUUGUUUGUCAGCUAGCUGGUUUGCUAAAUUAGCUUAGAACUAGGCUAGUCACUAAUGCUAGCUAGCUAACAUCUCCGACCAUGAGUUCACUAAGUUACUCUCCUACUGAUAAAGAAGAGGAGGUCUGCUGGACGGAGAAAGAAGCUCUCAUUAAAGAAGAGGAGGAUGUUACAAUACAAAAGCAAGUAGAGGUUGAGGCUGUUACAGUGAAAGGAGAAGAGAAAGACCGUUCAGAGUGAAAGAGGAGGAGGAGGAAGAGAAAGAGGAGGAUGCAGUUCUUGGAGUGAAAGAGGAGGAGGGGGAAGAUGACUGUCACAUUGAAAGAGGAGAAUGAGGAACAAGUGGAGGUUGGAGAUCUGUUUAACACCACCUUCCUCUCCUCUGAAGACCCAGUGAGGGUGGAGCUCAGUCAGAGAACAUUUGAGGCACUGGUUAGGAAGAACACUUCUACAGCCAGAGAGGGGCAGUCAAGAAAUGGAACAGCAAGGCCACAGAACAUGACAUAAGCAGAGCUGUGGGAGACCACCUCAAGCCCCUGGUAGAGCCGGGGGUGGUGUUUACCACUCCGCCACGCCUUCAGCAGGCUGGGAAAGUGGGAUUGAUCUGUUUGAUCCAUUUGUUUGUUUCACUUCUCUGGAGUUGAAUCCUUUGACAUAUUGUUGAUUUAAAAAUGUUUCAUUAUGAACUAAUGCACUGGGUUGGUUGAAAGGUGAUACUAAACAUACAUAACAUGCACUAUUCUGACAUAGUGGAAGAUACCGUUUUUCAUACUAAGAUGGAUCAUGGGUUGCUUUUGCACAUAUUGGUUCGAGGAGUCAGUAAAUGUGUUCAUUUGUUUUACAAUUGUCAUGCCCUGGUCGAAGUAUAGUAUGUUUGUCUUCAUUUAUUUGGUCAGGCCAGGGUGUGACAUGGGUUAUUGUGGUGCGUGUUUGUCAUGGGGUUUUGUGGGGUGUCUAGCAUAGUCUAUGGCU